rnacentral:sRNA from 1 species
ACGUUUUAGAAAUCAGCUAUAAAGAUUAAUUUUAAAGCAUUCUUCUACCCAAUAAAAAAGCCUCUCAAAGGAGAGGCUUUUUUAUUUUC